UUUAACUAAAAGCUCAACCAGGCCGCCAUUUCCAUCUGUAACUGGGAUAGUAGCUGCAGGAUGAGGAAAAAGUUUUAUGUCAUGUGGUACAGGCGUCAUUAUAAUCGAGCCCGUAUAAUUAAUAGGACCGGGCAAAAUAAGGACCAAAGCGGCGGUGGACGCAAACUCGUAAACCGGGGGUGAAAUGAAAGAACUGUGCAAGGAAUCCACAGUUAUCCCAGUGCUCAUGGAGUAAAAUAUAUUUAUGCCUAAAUGAUUACAGGCUAGUGGCACUGACCUUUGUAAUAAUGAAGGCAUCUGAUAUUCAAGUCAUUCACAGAUUCUCUUCUUGACCCACUACAGUUUGUUUACCUUGCCAAAAGGUUACUUGAGGAUGCAGUAAACAUGUCUCUCUGCUACAUCUUGCAGAAUUUGGACAUCUCACCCACUUACACUGGAAGGUUAUUUCUGAAUUUCAGUUCUGAAUUUAAUAUAAUCAUACCAGAGCUUCUCCAUGGCAAACUUCUUGGUAUGAACUUGGGACUGUGCCACGUGUCUCUGGAUCUCUGUAACUUUCUAAAAAAACAGACGGCAGUCAGUGAAGAUUGACAAAUAUCAGUCAGUGCUCCUGACCCUGAGGGCAUGUGAUGUGUUCUGUCUUUUCACCUUUUCACUCUCUACAGCAAAUGAUGCACCCCCAGUGAUCCGUCUGUUAAACGGCAGAAGUGUGCUGAUGACACCACCCUGAUCAGCUCUAUCACAAGCAGGGAUAUGGUGCCAAAUAUGAUGGAGGUGGAUUGGCAGGAUAGUUUGUGCAAUAUCAACUUAAAUCCUUAGGGAACAAAAAAAGCUUGCUGUGGAUUUUUAAGAGAUACUCUUCACCCUCUACUUGCCUAAUUAUAAACAAUGUCAGCAGGGUGGAAUCAUUUCAAUUAUUUAGCACAACUAUCAUUCACAGUCUGAACUGGUGUGAAAACAUAACUUCUUCUGUCAAGAAAGCACAGCAGUGUAUGUUUUUUUCUUUGCCAACUUGAAAAGUUUAACCUGUCCUAAUCAUUACUAGUGAAGUAUUAUAGAGCUGUUAUUGAAAGUCUCCUCAUUUUCUUCGUAACAGUUUCAUAUGGCAGUGAUCUGUUCACUCAAAUUAUAAGCUGCAGCAUGUUAUUCGGACAGCAGAAAAGACUAGUCCUGAGGACCUGUGUACUUGUACAUCAUGGGUGAGGAAACAUGCUUUAAAUACUGUAUAAUUAAAGACUACACUUACCUGA